ensembl:lncRNA
GAUGAUUUUAGGAGUGUGAUCAUAUUUACUCAGAACCACGCUGACUGUAGAACUGUUUUAAUACACGCAGAACCACAUCUUUUACCUGUGAUGGAUUAAAAUAACGUUCUACUCUAAAUUAUUGACAAAAACAUGUUCAGAUGUCAGGCAGGCAGAACAUCAGAGAUGAUGAAUAAAGGAGGAACUUCAAACAGACCAGCAGAGACCAGAAUGAGGGAUACCAGGAUAGAAGACGGGUAAAUGUGGACACGAUGGAGAGCCUGUAGGACGUCUCCAUCACAUUUUAUACCAAACAACCUCAGGAGAAACGUAGAACCUCAGACUCAUUCUGACUUCAUCACUUUUGAUUCAUACGACAGUGAAGCUGACCCUGAUUUAAAUUUCUUUUCCUCGUUUAACUGCUCGAGUUUAUGUAUAAUGUAUAUACAUAUACAUUAGUAUAUGCUCGAGUACAUGUAUAAUGGUUAUGAAUCCCAGCUUAGCGACUCAUGUGCCUCUUUGCCUGCAAAUUCCUUUUCUACUUUUCAUCUGAAUAUUAGAGUUCUUCCAAGGAAGUUGGAUGGUUUCAUUCAUUAUCUUUCAUCUCUCAAUCAUGAUUUUUCUGUUACAGUGCUAUCAGAAUCUUGGCUUUCAGAGGACUCAAAAGAAAUGUUUAAUAUAACAAACUAUAAAUCAGCUGACAGAGUAAGAGCUAAUAGAUCUGGAGUUCAAUAAAAUAGUCUGCUGGUUCUGAUUCUGUUGACUUCUAGAACCUGCUAAAGUCGAGCCAACAGACUAAAAAGACCCAAACAUAAAACACACCUUUUGUUCCUCCGAGGUCGUCCGUCCUCGUUUUAGAGACUAAAUGAAAUGAAAUAUUGGUAACGUUCAGUAUUCGUUCCCUAAAGCUGAGAGGUUUGUUUUUAUCAGAACUAAAUUUCAGGACAGAAAAUAAAAACAUUUUACCAUUAAGCUUUUAUCUCUGGGACAUCAUAGCUUUUUCAGUAGUGAAGUCUAUUAAACAGUUUAAAAAGUACUAAAGUUCAUAUGUAAACUUUUCAACAGGCUCACUAAAAUGUAUAGUUGCUUCAGUUUUUUUAUUUUAUUAAAAUUCUAAUAAUAAUGUAAUAGCUUAAAUAAUGCAGGUAUAAACCAGGAUGACUCACUAAUUUUCAACAAACAUUGAGAUUCUUUAACUUGCAUAAUGAAUAAAUGAAUUUAUUAAAACUCAUUAUUAAAACUCAAUCAUAAAAGCUCUGGUUGUCUGACAACAAAUUAUACAUCAUACAGGAAACACACUUGGCAAAAAUAUUUUUCAUCAAUGAUGCAAAAAUAUGAAUACCACCCGACUCUGCAAACCUUUUGAGUAUUCAAUUAAAACAACUCAAACUUUGUAAUUACUUCCCGUUUCUCAAAUUCAAAUUUUGAAAUGAGAUUUAGUUCAGUGGUUUCAUGAAAUCUUAGUUUCAGGCAGGAGAUUGAUGUUAAAACUCUGAGAUUGUUUUUUUUUUAUUUUGCAACAAGUGUUUAAAAGUGGAGAACAGGACCAUCUGUGUCAGUUCUGGGAGUGAGUGAGAAAACUGAUUAAAUGCUGAGGUAGGAUCCAGAACAAGUUGUAAAUAGCACAGCUCCAGCUGAUCCUGAUAAAAGCAGGACCAGAUGAUAACUCAGGAGGUCAAAGUCAUUAUGAUUUAAAGUGACUUGACUGGAGUUUAGACUAUUAAAUCAAUGCGAUCCCAUAACUUAGUUAAAAGUAUUUUUAGAUAAAGCCCAUUAUACUUUUCUGCUUUUAACUGUGCUCCACAGCGCCCCCUGCUGUUAUACAACACUGAUCAUUGUGAUGACAUCCAAUCAUCCCCAGUCCAAGUAAUGAUUUUUAAGUAAACUUCCAAUAGGUUUAAUCCCUCACAUUGAUUCUCAUUGAGCUGUUUUGCAGAUCAUUUUAGCCCAUCUAGUGGUACACCAGAGGAACGUUAUUUCCUGCUUAAUGUUCCUUCCGACCCCCUUUUGUGUCGGGACUCAUGCGGUUUUGCGUUGACCAGAAUAGACAAGGUUUUUUUUAAAAUCUACAUCAUGUUUGUGUGUCACUGGACACCACAAUUUAUUUUAAACCCUCAGUAAAUACCUUGUUUACAUCGAAAAAUUUACCUGUAGACUCAUUUUGAUGGGGUUGAAAACUCAGGUAUAGACAGAAAUAGGAAACAAUUUACCACCUGCUCUCUUAUAAUCAUAUUAAUCACAUUUACCUCAUUCUAAAUCAAAUCUGAUCUUUAAUCAAAAUUUAUUAAGCACUUUCCACACAAAUGCAGCUCAAAGCGCCAAACAACCUGACAGUAGUCGGUUUCCCACCCCUCCCACACAUUCACAUGAGAUCUCCUUUGCAUCGCCCUCCUCCUCUUGAGCUGAAGAUGAAUCUCCGUCUGUUUCUUGCCUCAGUGCUAAGCUGCUUCCUUCAGAUGCUUUCAGUCAACUCAGUAAAAUAAUUUCACCUCAUCGGUAAUGUGGUCAAAUCUGUGCCCUUGCCUAUUAUCAAGGCCCGAAUUUUUGCUGCAAUAAGUAAAGAAAACUCACUUAACACGUCGUUUCCGUUUGGACCUGGCUCUUAAGAGUUGAUGCUGUUACUUAAUGCUCCAAGACAAAAGUUUCAAACCAAAUAUUUUAUUUCAGAUAUAACGAACUUUAACAUAAUGUGUGGAUAAAUAUCCCUGUUUUGGGUAAAAUUGUACAAAUGACACAAUUACAAUAUAUUUUAAUUGUAAGACUAAACAAAAGGUCAAAUGUUUUUUUUUCCUUAAUACUGAUCUUCAUUACCCCAUUUACAACCAACACGCCAGUAGUUACAUAACAUUUUGUAGAACAGCAAUUCCCAUUCUAUGCUUACAUCUCCAAACACAAGUUAAAUAACAGAGGCUGGUCCAUUCUGAAGACUUCGGUCAUAAAACAAAUUUUAGUAUUAGCAUUUAAUUCGACAGCCUAGAACAAAUACAGUUAGAUGACGUUGUUAUAUGUAUAAUAUGCCACUAGAGGGCGGCCGUGAACAAAGAGACGCAACUAGAACAUUCCAGUAGCCCCGCCCUUAAGGGGAGAGGUCUGACCACGCCCCAUUAUGUUGUUUACUAGUUUUAGGACACUUCAGGACUUGUUUUUCGACGUUUACAAUAUAUCGGAACUUUUGCAUUAAAGAAAACAUCUUUAUGAUCAUAUUUUCAUCUCUUUAAAGUACAUUUACAGUUUUAUAGAGAAUAAGAUUUCAAAUGUUAGUUUUUAACGAUUGCAUUUUUCUAUUUUUGAGUUAGAAACCAUACACAUGCAUCCCACCCCACCCAUAUUUUCUACCAUUCUCACCAUGCAUUUUGUACGCACAGUUUCAUCCACCGAGGUAAAUUUAUAAGUCUUUUAAACACCACACUAAACCACCUUUAUUUUGGAGCACGAGACCAAAAAUUAUUCCGAUCACGCGCCCAGUCCGUCUGAUGUCAUUAUACUUCUGUUUUUUAUGGAAACGUCUCUUUGCUUCAGCGACGACAAUUCUGCAACGAAUAAAACAAGUUUUCAGGAAUCACAAUAAACAGUCAGAAACCCCAAAUUAGACCCGAUCCCGCCAAGAACCCCUACAGGAAACGGAGACUUCACUCACGGUCCCGAGGCGAACCCGCUCCAACAACCUGCUUUUCCUUGACGUCCGUCUUGUUUCGGGUCAGUCCGCAGUACACAGAGGGAAGAAUGUGACGCAGCUCCCUUUAUAUAAACACCCACUGGCUCCUUCUGGAAGAUUCCAUGCGCCUCAAUCCAGUCAGAGUUUACGAAGAGAGCCACAUCCGGUACAGACUGUCAAAAUACAGGCCCUGUCUCACACACACACACACACACACACACACACACACACACACACACACACACACACACACACACACACACACUCUUUAUUUGACAUAGCGCAUUUAAACACAGCAUGCCAGUUGACCAAAGAGCUUCACAGCCAAUAAUCACAAAAGGAUCUCUGAAACCAAGCCUGAUAAAACACAUGUUGUCUCUGAGGAGCUGAGUUUUCUAAAAAUCUUUAAAGAUGAUUUUGACAAAUGACCAAAAAAUAAAAAUAAAAAAGAGUAGGCGACAUUAGUCACCUAAUAUCACGUGGUUCCUA